AUGGUGGUCGUCAUAGCUGGUUCCUCGUCCCACCCAGGGGCGCGGAGGCAAGAGGGAACCCGGUGUGACUCCGGGACUGCCCCGCAGCGGUGAGUGGGAACGACCGCCGUCACCAAGCACUGGGUCGCACGUGCACGACCUGGGAAGCGACGGCCACUAGGACUCCUUUCGAGGAGAUGCCCGCGAGUCCGAAGACCUGCCAGCGCACCGCACCCGCC
rnacentral:ncRNA from 1 species